GGUCCUGUUCUGUUGCUGACUCCUCUGGAGGAGACGGUCCUGUUCUCUAGCUGACUCCUCAGGAGGAGACGGUCCUGUUCUCUAGCUGACUCCUCAGCAGGAGACGGUCCUGUUCCGUAACUGACUCCUCAGCAGGAGAUGCUCCUUUUCUCUAGCUGACUCCUCAGGAGGAGACGGUCCUGUUCUCUAGCUGACUCCUCAGCAGGAGAUGGUCCUGUUCUGUAGCUGACUCCUCAGGAGGAGACGGUCCUGUUCUCUAGCUGACUCCUCAGGAGGAGAUGGUCCUGUUCCGUAGCUGACUCCUCAGGAGUAGAUGGUCUUGGCGCUUGCUGAACACUCUGGGACGUCCUGAAGACUUCUUCACUGCAGUCAAACCUCUCUCCUUGAAGUUCUUGGUGAUUCGGUAAAUGGUCCUUUCAGAUGCAAUAUUCUUUGUGCAAUUUCCUUGCAUGUGAGACCAUUUUGAUGCAAAGCAUUGAUGGCUGCACGUGUUUCUUUGGAGGUAACCAUUGCUAACAAGAACACAAUGACUGGAAACACUUCUUCCCUCUUUUUAUAGCAAUCAGUCUGAUCUUACAAUCUAAUUAGUAUGAUAGUGAUUAACCUGACUAGAACUAAUUCACACUUCCACAUGUGCUACUGAUAUGAUUAGUCAAUUAAUGUUAGCUGGUCGUUUGGUGUCAGGAUGACAAACAGUGAAAUUAGUUUUUUUGUGAAAAGUUCCCUUUUUUUGGCCAAUCAAGCUUUUAGCAAUUAUUUCAAAUGUAUCUGAUCACUCUACACCAGAAGACCUUGAUUAGCUUGUUCAGGUGUGUUUGAUUAGGGUUCAAGGGAUCAGAGCUAAACUCUGCAGGACAGCGGCACUCCAGGACCGACGUUGCCUACCCCUGCUCUACACAAUACUCUAGAAACAAUAAUUUGAUAAACCAUGGAGGGAAACAACCUGGGAAAAGAAAGAACUUUUGGAAAAAAACCUCAGGGAACUUAAGCUGGGCGACUCAAAUGUUAAGUACA
ensembl:lncRNA